rnacentral:lncRNA from 1 species
UGGCCACUUUUUUAGGCGUGCCAUGCAACUAGUGCGAUAAAGCCACUGGCGUGGUGCAUGAUUACCUGGGAAUUAUCGGAUCGAGUGUUGCCGGGGCAUAGGUACUCAACAACAACUGCUGCUGCUGAUCCAAUGGGUUUCAGUUGCUUGUAACCUGAAGUCGAUCUGUUAACUUAGGCCUUGUUUAGUUCGCAAAAUUUUUUGUUUUUCGCUACUGU